GAUGAAUGCACACAUCACAGAGAAGUUCCUCAGAAUGCUUCUAUCUAGUUUUUAUGUGAAGGUAUUUCCUUUUCCACCAUAGGCAUCAAAGUGCUCCAAAUCUCCACUUGCAGAUUCUACAAAAAGAGAGUUUCAAAACUACUCAAUCAAAAGAAAGUUUAAACUCUGUGAGAUGAAUGUGCACAUCACAAAGAAGUUUCUCAGAUUGCUUCUGUCUAGAUUUUAUGUGAAGAUAUUUCCUUUUCUGCCAUAGGCCGCAAAGUGCUCCAAAUGUCCCCUUCCAGAUUCUACAAACAGAAUGAUUCCAAACUGCUCAAUCAAAAGAAAUGUUCAACUCUGUGAGUUGAAUGCACACAUCACAAAGUAGUUUCUCAGAAUGCUUCUGCAUAG
rnacentral:lncRNA from 1 species